GCGGGAAUGCUGGAAUUGGCAGACAGGCAAGAUUCAGGAUCUUGUGUGAUUCGUCACGUGGGGGUUCAAGUCCCUUUUCCCGCACCA
rnacentral:tRNA from 1 species